GGGCAGACGAGCCACGGUCCCCAAGGUGACCACGGUCACCUGCAGGUCUCUGCCGUGGCCACGCUUCCUCCAUACGCACCGUGGUACCAUCCUCUCCAAGAAAGAGACCGCCUACAACUCACCGUAGGAGAAACGCACACGCAUGGGCAGUUACCGUUAUGUACAAUAAGUUUAAAACUUAAUCUGUGAUCAGGAUUCAUGAAUUAAAUCCGUUGCUCUGCAAAUUGCCUUUCAAAGUAACUGUGGGAAAACCAGGCUGUGAAUAGAUGACUCAUUUUAUUGAUGUUAAAUUGAAUAUACUUCAUUGAAGACAGUGGACCAGGCACUGACCUGGUGGGAGAACCUUCCACAUGUGGAGAUCUGGAUUCAACUGUCGAUAGCAGCGGAGUGAGGUCCGUGUAUAAAGUAGAACAUAAGUCCUGGUGUUUAAGGUUGAAGAUCUGGAAGUUGUGCUGGAAAAAAAUGGAAAUCUUAUCAAAAGCAUCCGAAUAUUCAGCUUGACAUGGAGAUGAGAUUCCUCAAUAUAAAUGUUUCUCUCCCGAUUUAUGAUGUCGUGGCCAGCUGCUGCAUGGAGGAUUUUCUUGUUUCUUAUUUUUUCUUUUUUUAGAGGGCUUUUGUUUUGGGGUUUUUUGGGGUUUGUGUUUUGCUUGUGUAUGGGUUUUUGUUUUUUUUGUUUCUUUUUUUAACGGAGUGACUGAAGCAGCUGCUGUCUAGCUGGGAAGAAAAUGGAUAACUCCUCCCUGCAGCCAUCAGGGCGCUUGCACUGCAGUCAUUGAUUUCCUUCCCUGCCAGGCGGUGCCUGCUCCGCGCUCUCUGCAGAAGGCAGCCUGCAUCCUUGACGGACUUCAUUAUCGGGGCAGUCGUGCAGAGACUCCGCCGAUAGACUGUAAUGGCAUUAUUCUGGAAAGGGUAGUGUUUGAUGGAGCCACUUGGUUUAGAGACCCUGAAGACCACUUCUGUUGUUCCCUUGCAGUGGCGGCGUUGGAGGGAGGCGAAGAAGCUGCCUCGCUAAUGGGAAGGUUUCUGCCGCUUUCAGGAUGGAGCCUUCGGAUGCUUUUCUUCUCUUUCUAAUUUUUCUCGCGUACUUAUCAAGAAGUCAAGAAGCUGGUUGCAGCUGUGGCUGUGGAAACUGAGCUGCAAAGCUUAGAUGAGCUCUUUUAAAAACAUGCCUUUUGAUUUGGACAUAAAGGAGCGGAUUCUGAUAGAUACUUGACCCCACAGGAUCCAAAUAGCCCUGGUUAUUGCUCUUGUUCUGGCAACACGCAAUUGACACUAAAACCAUUAAAUUCUUAAAUCCCAAAUCCGUAUUUGCUUGAAAAAAAAAAUUACAUGCUUUGAUUUUUGUCAUGAAACGGAAGUAAUUAAAAAACACUGCCAUUUUGACUUAAUUUGACCUCAGCAGAACCAAAUGCUUUGCAGUUAUCUUGUGAAUAUUUUGACAUAACACGUUGCUGCAAGGUGCUUUUACGGAGUCAGGGCAGCGCGUUUUGAUACACAGAAAAAGGUUUUGUAGGAGUGUUUUUGACGAGCUGAAUUUUCGUCUGGGUGAUUCGGUGUGUAAAUAUUGGCAUGAAGACCUCCUUUUGCAUGCCUGAACUGAACCAACCUCCUAGCGCCGUGGAAAGACAUGGAAAAUGUUCUGUGAAUAAAAAUUUUUGGCAGGCUCCUUUAGAAACAAGGUGUGCAGAUGGAAUACAAGGCAUUAAAUCCUUGGAGUGUUAAAAAAAAAAAAAAAUAGUUGUUUUUCAAGGGAAUGAUUUUUCUAAAAUGCAAGAGGGAAUUUGAUGCCUUAUUUCAUUCUCCUUCAGUUGUGCAUCAAAACCUUUUGCAGCUCUGUUUAUUUCUUAAGAAUAAAAAUGAAUAAUGUGUUCAAAUACCAGAUGGGGACAUAAAGUAUACUAUUAAUUAGAAACAUCUGUAUUAAUUGAAUAAUAUCAAUGAUUAAUAACUGUCCGGCUUUGAAAAAUAGAAUUCCUAUUCCAGCUCAUUGAUUUUUGCAUUGUUUUGUUUUUAAAUACCUACCUUGUAUCAGUUAAAAUUAAAAUUAACGUUGUCAUUAUUAACUUCUAGCUAUUAGAGCUGAUGGUAACGCUUGUUUUUUAUAUUCCUUGAAAAUACUUCAGGCAUAGUUGCUGUCUAGACACUAUCAUUUUCUAUUCAAUCCCAAACUGUUCCCAGUGUGGUUUCUGGUUGUAACAUCACGGUGGGAGAAGUACCAUGAAAUGAAACAGAAUGCUAUCUAUAGGAUCUUUGUCAUAGGAGAAUUCACUUAGACUGGCAAACACGGUUCAGAUUUUCCUCUAAAUUAAGUUUUGUGUGUUACUUGUUUACGAUCAGAGAGCUACAAGAUGUCCGACAUUGCCAGGAUUCAAAGCAUUCAGGUUCUUUUGGUUUUUAGAGGGGAAAAGACAAAUUAAAAAAAAAAAAAUCUCGACGCAAUCAAUCUGCCGAAACAUUGUGACGAGUGCUUACCAUGCUAAUCGAUAUUACUUCGGUCUGUCUUUUUAUGUGCUCUGAACUCUCUUGUCCUUGAGUGUAAGCUUGCCGAGGAGGGGACUCCUUCACUUCUGCGUUGGCAUCCCGGCCACCGCUGGGCUCCAUUAGCCUCGAAGGAAGCCAGUAACGCACCCCGAGGAAAAAAAAAUAAUCUGCAAACAGAGUUUUGAGCUGUGCCAGCAACAAAGUCUGGCUCUUGGGGGGGUUGGGAGAGUUGGGUGUCUUGUUUUGGUGGUUUGCGUUUGGUUGGGUUUUUAAAUAACGUGUGGCCAUCGCUGAACGUCGUGGUGCUUUGCCGCAUCAACGGGGGCUUGAAGGAGUGGAAGGAAGGAAUGAAGAAGGGAGGAGGGGGCAGGUUGCUCCUACUUGGUUUCAGACUGUGCCUAGAUUCUUACCGUUGUACCUUAAAUCCGCUGAGUCCAUGGAGAGGAGUAGGUGCUUUCAGAGGUUAGUUUAACCUUGAACUGGGCUUCCUGGUUCUCUGCAGCUGUUUGUGUCUUCUCUAGUUUAGGCCUCAUUCCAACUAAUGGAGAAGUUUGUGGUGACAAAGCAGAAUUUUGAGAGUUUAAGACACAUGGCUUCAAAUCCCACCUCGGGGCAAUAAGGAUCAUGCUGUGCUCUACCUGGGACAUGCUGUGGCCAUCGGGACAGCCUCGGCACUUGGGGACAAGCAGGAUCAAGUGUCCCUUGGCUCUUGAGACGGAAGUUGGUCCUAGAACACUGUAAAAACACACAAAGAAAUUUCUCUGAUUUAUUUGAAUUGUGAAUAGGUCGGAAUUUAAGCAUCCCUUUAAACAUACAAACAAGCAAGAAAACAAGCAGAGCCCAAUUUCAGGUAGAUUUAACGUGCCUGUGGACAAGUGAAUUUUUAAUAGCUAAUCUUACCCUGACAGCUCAUGGGAAAUAUCAAUCUAUUAGGCAGGAUUCGAGUGUUGAAUUUUUAAUGCGCUUUUAGUGAUUAAAGUGCUCUCUUUCUCCACUGCUUGAAAGAGAACACAGUGGCUUUAAGGAACAGUUUAAAGCCAUAACAACAAUGGAGAAUUAAUAAUUGUAGUUGACCAUAUUUCUCUCCGGGAGAGAAGGGCUGUGCCUAUUUGCAUACAAGUGUUGCGUUUGGGACAUUAGAGACAAAAGGAAAUCACUCAUUUUGAGAGUAGCAAAUGAGCCAGAUCCGCUUGAAAAGGAUCCUGUGAUUUUGUUGUCUCCGUUAGCAAGUGAUGGGGGACCGACCGUUGUGGGCCUCUGGUGAGGGGAAGUGAGGCCUGAAGAACAGAAACGAGCAUAACACUAAGGAUUUCAGCCAAGGAUUUAGGCUUGGCAUUCAGCUGGGGAUUGUUCGUGCAAACGGACACGUGAGGACAGAAUCUCAACGUUGUUGAGGUGAAGAUGUGCUGGGCCAUGGAUGUUAGCGAAACCAGAAUUUACAGGGAGAUUGCCCAAAUCUGCAGAGGUAGCUGAUUCCUUGCUGUUCUUGCAGCUGGAGCAGAAAGGCGUCACAGCGUGAAGGGUGUUAGAUCCCUCUGUAAGAGGAAAGAUAAUACUUCACCUUCCUGUUAGGGAGGGAAGGGGG